rnacentral:rRNA from 1 species
UACGUAGGGGGCAAGCGUUGUUCGGAAUUACUGGGCGUAAGGCGCACGUAGGCGGUUCGUUAAGUCAGAUGUGAAAUCCCCGGGCUCAACCUGGGAACUGCAUUUGUGACUGCAUGGCUGGAGUGCGGCAGAGGGGGAUGGAAUUCCGCGUGUAGCAGUGAAAUGCGUAGAUAUGCGGAGGAACACCGAUGGCGAAGGCAAUCCCCUGGGCCUGCACUGACGCUCAUGCACGAAAGCGUGGGGAGCAAACAGG